GCGUUCCUUAGGCUAGGCUACUGGCCACUCUGUAGGAUUGAUUCAUGAUACCGAGCUAUAAGGUUCAUAUAUUUUCAGCUGGAUAGUGUUUUCCGUGUCUAUGGACAUUCUUAAGAGUUAAAAGAGUUUACUUGGCUUGGCUUCUCGUAGCAUCCGACCCAAGAGUCCUCAAAGGAAAUCUCCCUUGGAAAAUAUGUCAGCGGUCGUACUGGCUAGAGUUUUAUGUCAUCCCCACACAGCUAGUGUUAUCUGGGAAGAGAAACCUCAGUUGAGAAGAUGCUUCCAUUAGAUUGCUUGAGAUUAGUGCUGCUCCCAAGAUUGGACAGAGAACAUUCUGUUUGCAGCGGGAAGCAAUUAAUGCAGAGAUCCGGAAUUUUUAGAGCGCCCCGUGACCCUUGUGAUGGCAGACACAAGUCACACAUUCAUGCAAACCUGUAGAAUGGAUGGCAACAAGAGUGAAGCAUGGAUUCUAGAUGGUAGUGACAUACCAAUGAUGGGUCAUCAGCUGAACUCCGUGGUCAAAGGCAGAGUAGAAACCCUGGAUGGAGAUAAUUAUUUUCUACAACAUCUGUGUGUAUAUGCAUGUGAGUACAGAUGCCCCAGAGGUCAGAAAAGGGCACUCAAUCCCUGGAACUAUAGUCACAGGUGACCUGAAUACUGCAAACAGAACUCAGAUUCUCUGAGGAGCAGAUGUGCUAUGAACCACUGGACCAUGUCUCCA
rnacentral:sRNA from 1 species